rnacentral:rRNA from 1 species
GAUGAACGCUGGCGGCGUGCCUAAUACAUGCAAGUCGAGCGAACGGACGAGAAGCUUGCUUCUCUGAUGUUAGCGGCGGACGGGUGAGUAACACGUGGAUAACCUACCUAUAAGACUGGGAUAACUUCGGGAAACCGUAGCUAAUACCGGAUAAUAUUUUGAACCGCAUGGUUCAAAAGUGAAAGACGGUCUUGCUGUCACUUAUAGAUGGAUCCGCGCUGCAUUAGCUAGUUGGCAAGGUAACGGCUUACCAAGGCAACGAUGCAUAGCCGACCUGAGAGGUGGGCGGCCCACAUGGGAGCUGGACCGCGUCCAAGCCUCCUGCGGGAGGCAGCAGUGGGGAUCCUUCGGCAAGGGGGGGAACCCUGACGGAACAGCGCGGCGUGGGUGGCAAAGGCUUCGGGAGCGGAAACCUUUUUUAUGGGGAAAAAACAUAUGUGGAAGGAUCUGUACACUUCUUGAGGGUAACUAAUAAAAAAGCCACGGCUAACUACGUG